GGGGGCGUACUGGUUUCGACGGGGAUGUUGAAGCAUGAGUAGCGAGUAGUGGACCAGGGCCACUAUAAAACUUGGAAAAUUAAAGAUAAACGCUGAAGAUAAUUUAGCUUUCGCGGCCUAAUAAGGCCGUCGUUCAACCUAGGAUCACCGCGGCCUAGGAUUGGGCGUCGAUUAGCGGUGAACGUGACAUAGCUAAGCUUUGCGCUAUGCAUGACUAAUGAAGCUACUAAAGCUGUAAGCUUGUGGGCAGGCGUGCAGUGGAGGGAAUGUUAAAACACCCAAUGCACUCGGAGAAGCUUAUGUGAAUGCGUUUUCGGACAGGGGUUCAAUUCCCCUCGCCUCCACCA
rnacentral:tmRNA from 1 species